rnacentral:rRNA from 1 species
ACGCACGCUGGCGGCGUGCUUCACACCUGCAGGUCGAACGGAAAGGCCCUGCUUUUGUGGGGUGCUCGAGUGGCGAACGGGUGAGUAACACGUGAGUAACCUGCCCUUGACUUUGGGAUAACUUCAGGAAACUGGGGCUAAUACCGGAUAGGAGCUCCUGCUGCAUGGUGGGGGUUGGAAAGUUUCGGCGGUUGGGGAUGGACUCGCGGCUUAUCGGCUGGUUGGGGGGGUAGUGGCUGACCCAGGCUUUGACGGGUAGCCGGCCUGGGAGGGUGGCCGGCCACAUUGGGACGGGGAUACGGCCCAGACUCGUACGGGAGGCAGCAGUGGGGAAUAUUGCACAAUGGGCGGAAGCCUGAUGCAGCAACGCCGCGUGCGGGAUGACGGCCUUCGGGUUGUAAACCGCUUUCGCCUGUGACGAAGCGUGAGUGACGGUAAUGGGUAAAGAAGCACCGGCUAACUACGUG